GGGUCAGGUGCACACACUGAGACGAGGUGCCCUGAGAAAGCUGUGAUUCCCUUUGUACUGUAAUUGUUUUGAAUGCAAGACGAAUUAGACGCGCUAACCACGCGGAACAACGGGCGAUAAUAAUAAAAGUAAACGAUUGACGGAUUAGAAUGAAGCGUAAACAUCACAUUAGCGUAAAACUGCCGGAAAUAAUGAAUGCGAGGGGCAGGUGCGAGUGGUGGACGGAAAAGCUGCCCGGCCACCAGACGACCAGUGCAUGUGUAGUGUGGACGUCUCUGCGUGGAAGGUGAAGGUUGCGUGUGAGCCAGUCAGUGCCUGUGAGUGUUUGUGACCCCUGAACUGAGCGGUCACUGGUGGUGAGAUGAGGAAUCAUUUGAUGACUAGCCUUAAAAACAACGUGUAUUCCAAGCAGACAUCGUACUGGAUUCUUUUUCAUCAAGAAAGGAGAUCAUGUCCAGUGCCCGCGGCUGGCGAGUCUGUCUGGCGGCUGCUGAUGUCCUUGCCUUUCUUCCCUCACCGCCUCCCUGUGUCCUCCCUGCGACCACAACAAGUCCACAAAUCUCCAUUGAGAGAAGCAAGAGUCGUGUUACAUUUUGCCGUGUCCGUCGCACCGUAGCCUUCUCCUCUGCCGCCCAUGUAAUACCAGUCUGCACCAGUCAGUACAGCCAACACACUGCCCCAUUACUUAAAGAUUAUAGUCCAGUUACAAGUGAAGCCUUUUAUUGUUUUCAACUAUUCCAUGGCCACACUUAGAGAAAAUAAGCCUGUAUUGAAUAACUCCCCGGAGACAGCAAAACCAUGAGACACACAAAAAUAUAGCAUGCAUUACCGUACAAGACUUUCUACUUAU